rnacentral:rRNA from 1 species
GCCGCCACCAGGACCACACAAUAAACCUUUUUUAUGCAGUUGCAAUCAGCGUCAGUACAACAAAUGUAAAUCAUUUACAACUUUCAACAACGGAUCUCUUGGUUCUGGCAUCGAUGAAGAACGCAGCGAAAUGCGAUACGUAGUGUGAAUUGCAGAAUUCAGUGAAUCAUCGAAUCUUUGAACGCACAUUGCGCCCUUUGGUAUUCCAAAGGGCAUGCCUGUUCGAGCGUCAUUUGUACCCUCAAGCUUUGCUUGGUGUUGGGCGUUUUUUGUCUUUGGUUGCCAAAGACUCGCCUUAAAACGAUUGGCAGCCGGCCUCCUGGUUUCGCAGCGCAGCACAUUUUUGCGCUUGCAAUCAGCAACAGAGGGCGGCACUCCA